GACCCCGUAGCUUAACUGGAUAGAGCAGCUCCGUCCUAAGGAGAAGAUUGCAGGUUCAAAUCCCGCCGGGGUCACCA
rnacentral:tRNA from 1 species